rnacentral:ncRNA from 1 species
GGCCUGCCAGCGGUAGUGGGAAUUAUCAGUUGGAGAGGAACUUUGUUAUUAGGGUUGAAUUUCCAGUCUUCGGGCCUCAGUUCGGAUUAUUCUCUGCAACUCGGGAACAUGAAGUUGGAAUCACUAGUAAUCGCGGAUCAGCAUGCCGCGGUGAAUAUGUACCCGGGCC